rnacentral:rRNA from 1 species
AUUGAACGCUGGCGGCAGGCCUAACACAUGCAAGUCGAGCGGAUGAAGGGAGCUUGCUCCUGGAUUCAGCGGCGGACGGGUGAGUAAUGCCUAGGAAUCUGCCUGGUAGUGGGGGAUAACGUCCGGAAACGGGCGCUAAUACCGCAUACGUCCUGAGGGAGAAAGUGGGGGAUCCUCGGACCUCACGCUAUCAGAUGAGCCUAGGUCGGAUUAGCUAGUUGGUGGGGUAAAGGCCUACCAAGGCGACGAUCCGUAACUGGUCUGAGAGGAUGAUCAGCCACACUGGAACUGAGACACGGUCCAGACUCCUACGGGAGGCAGCAGUGGGGAAUAUUGGACAAUGGGCGAAAGCCUGAUCCAGCCAUGCCGCGUGUGUGAAGAAGGUCUUCGGAUUGUAAAGCACUUUAAGUUGGGAGGAAGGGCAGUAAGUUAAUACCUUGCUGUUUUGACGUUACCAACAGAAUAAGCACCGGCUAACUUCGUG